rnacentral:rRNA from 1 species
UACAGAGACUGCAAGCGUUAUUCGGAUUCACUGGGCGUAAAGGGUGCGCAGGCGGUUGUGUGUGUCAGGUGUGAAAGCCCGGGGCUUAACCCCGGAAUUGCGCCUGAAACUACAUGACUAGAGCAUUGGAGAGGGUAGCGGAAUUCACGGUGUAGCAGUGAAAUGCGUAGAUAUCGUGAGGAACACCAGAGGCGAAGGCGGCUACCUGGACAAUUGCUGACGCUCAGGCAACGAAAGCGUGGGGAGCAAAAGGG